GGGCCCGCACAAGCGGUGGAGUAUGUGGUUUAAUUCGAAGCAACGCGCAGAACCUUACCAACCCUUGACAUCCUGUGCUAACCCGAGAGAUCGGGCGUUCACUUCGGUGACGCAGUGACAGGUGCUGCAUGGCUGUCGUCAGCUCGUGUCGUGAGAUGUUCGGUUAAGUCCGGCAACGAGCGCAACCCACAUCCUUAGUUGCCAGCAGUUCGGCUGGGCACUCUAAGGAAACUGCCCGUGAUAAGCGGGAGGAAGGUGUGGAUGACGUCAAGUCCUCAUGGCCCUUACGGGUUGGGCUACACACGUGCUACAAUGGCAGUGACAAUGGGAUGCGAAGGGGUGACUCUUAGCUAAUCCCUAAAAUGUGCCUCAGUUCGGAUUGUACUCUGUAACUCGAGUGCA
rnacentral:rRNA from 1 species